AGGGUGAAAAGUUUCCUAAAUACAAAAACUUUUGCACCGUCGCCGUCGCUUCGUACGAGCGCCAGAAACGAGUGCGAGUUGCCUGCCCCGCUGUCAACUGCGAGUUGUGAAUUCUACGCGGUUGCAAGUUCUUAAGCUGCGGAGCGUGGAACGUGUAACGUUGCCGUCGUCAACGUUUUGUUGUUUAUUUGCGCGUUUAAUUUUCCUUUUCAUACCAAAAACAAACAAACAACAACAACACACAAUUAAAUUUAAUUUAAUUAAGUAAGCAACCCAGUGAAAUACUUUGAUCAGGGAUUGCAGUUGAAAUGAAAAACGAGUUUCAAAUGUGUUACAACAACAGAAAACUGGCAAUUAUGUUGCUCAAGUGAUUAGUGCCAACAACAACAGCUACAACUAAAACAACUGCAACAAUCAUAGUAACAAUAACAACAACAACAACAACAAUCGGCAACAACAAAUGCUUGCAUUUCUUUGAGCAACAUUUAUAAUUUCCAUGCAUCUUCGCAUCGUUUCUUUGCGUUAAUUCUCUUUUCGUGUCGCGUUCGCAUCUUUCGCGUUUUGUUCGUAUUGUAAACAGUUAAUUCUUAAUUCACUCUACCCCUCUCCCACCCUCUCCCUGUCCUUGUUACUCACAUACACAUACGCUGAGACGGCUUAGCUUUCGUUUUCGUUUUACAUUUUCGUGCGCGUUUCGCCUUCCUAACGGUUUUCCGGUUAAAGAGAUAAAGAGGAUCAUUACAGAGGAUCACUUCAUCGUAUGCAACUUCCUAGUGGCAACAGCAGCAAUCGAUCAAUGGCAAUGGAUUAACAAUGCUUUUUAACCAACGGAUUUGAGGAAACCAGCAACAAAAACAACCACAACAGCAACUUUGGCAUGUGAAAUUGAAAAGCAAAGAAAAAAAACAAAAACUACUUUUUGGCUAAUAAUCAAAAUUUUCACUUGAAGUCAAACAAAAAGCAAGAAAUGCAUUAAACGAAAGAAGAAAAUCAACUAAUUAGUAAUAUUAACUUAAUUUUAAUAACUUAUAACAAAUAACGCGAUAAUGUUUAAUUAAUUUGUAAGUA